AGAGUUUGAUCCUGGCUCAGGAUGAACGCUAGCGGCAGGCUUAAUACAUGCAAGUCGUGGGGCAGCGCGGGUAGCAAUACCUGGCGGCGACCGGCAAACGGGUGCGGAACACGUACGCAACCUUCCUUUAAGUGAGGAAUAGCCCAGGGAAACUUGGAUUAAUACCUCGUAACAUUAUGAGAUGGCAUCAUCUUAUAAUUAUAGCUACGGCGCUUAAAGAUGGGCGUGCGGCUGAUUAGGUAGUUGGCGGGGUAAUAGCCCACCAAGCCUACGAUCAGUAACUGGUGUGAGAGCACGACCAGUCACACGGGCACUGAGACACGGGCCCGACUCCUACGGGAGGCAGCAGUAAGGAAUAUUGGUCAAUGGACGCAAGUCUGAACCAGCCAUGCCGCGUGGAGGAUGAAGGCCCUCUGGGUUGUAAACUUCUUUUAUUUGGGAAGAAACCCAUCUUUUCUAAGGUGGUUGACGGUACCAGAUGAAUAAGCACCGGCUAACUCCGUGCCAGCAGCCGCGGUAAUACGGAGGGUGCAAGCGUUAUCCGGAUUCACUGGGUUUAAAGGGUGCGUAGGUGGGCAGGUAAGUCAGUGGUGAAAUCUCUGGGCUUAACCCAGAAACUGCCGUUGAUACUAUCUGUCUUGAAUAUAGUGGAGGUGAGCGGAAUAUGUCAUGUAGCGGUGAAAUGCUUAGAUAUGACAUAGAACACCCAUUGCGAAGGCAGCUCGCUACACUAUUAUUGACACUGAGGCACGAAAGCGUGGGGAUCAAACAGGAUUAGAUACCCUAGUAGUCC
rnacentral:rRNA from 1 species